AGUGAACGCUGGCGGCAGGCCUAAUACAUGCAAGUCGAACGGCAGCACAGCAGAGCUUGCUCUGUGGGUGGCGAGUGGCGGACGGGUGAGGAAUACAUGGGAAUCUGCCCAGUCGUGGGGGAUAACGUAUGGAAACGUACGCUAAUACCGCAUGCGCCCUACGGGGGAAAGCCGGGGACCGAAAGGCCUGGCGCGAUUGGAUGAGCCCAUGUUCGAUUAGCUAGUUGGCGGGGUAAAGGCCCACCAAGGCGACGAUCGAUAGCUGGUCUGAGAGGAUGAUCAGCCACACUGGAACUGAGACACGGUCCAGACUCCUACGGGAGGCAGCAGUAGGGAAUUUGGACAAUGGGGGCAACCCUGAUCCAGCCAUGCCGCGUGAGUGAAGAAGGCCCUCGGGUUGUAAAGCUCUUUUGUCCGGAAGAAAAGCAAUCGGUUAAUACCCGGUGUUCUGACGUACCGGAGAUAAGCACCGGCUAACUCGUGCCAGCAGCCG
rnacentral:rRNA from 1 species